AAAAACGCUGUACAAAAUAUCGCUGUAUAAGAGGUGCUGUAUAAUUUUUUGAACAGCACAUGUUUAAGCUUUGAUAAAUAUCGGUAUAAAACACGGCGAAUUGACCUGUUUAAGGUCCGUAGACAGAAGGCUUGAACAGGGGGUUGUACAAGAUACCGGCACAUGUAAAGCGCAUGCGUACGCGUGCGCAGUGCUAUGCUAGUGGUCGGAAGAUGGCGUUGAGUAUGUUCGACUCGGAGACUGCUGCAGUGCACUGGAAAAAUCGUGUUUAAUCUCCGUUUUAGAAAAUGAAAGAUUUGGGGGUGACAAACCUGCUUCAGGAGUGGGACUUCCCACAUUUAGUUCCAAUCUUUAGAGUUAAAUGUUGCAGAAGAUGAGCACGAAGUCACCUACUGGAUGCAAUAUUACUCAUCACCUGACAACAUUGUUGUUAAUGUGACGAACCUCGGUACUGAGAUAUGAGUUGACUAGAGGAAACCCGCGACCAAGCACAGCAGAAAUUCUUGACAAAUAUCUACAGCUUUUGGGAAUGAUUGAUCAAGACUUUGAUUUAACAAUUGAUGCAGCUCCUGGUGCCCUUUUCACAAUGUGGCCAAAGUUGUCCAGGCAGACUUUGGAAUUUGCGGAGAAGAUUAAUCCAGGGUAUAGAAAGAUCCUAGGGGCUGGAGUGGACCAGAAAAUGACGCAGAGUCAACAAUGAAGAAAAUUUGGCUUUCAGUACUUCCUGGGAUUUUGAUCGGCAGAACGAAAGGGGAAUGAGGCAAAUUAAAUGUGCCGUACUUCAAAGUCUUGAAUCUUUCAUCAAUCUCCAAUUAGAAGGAGCAUGAACAAAAAGAAGAUGAACAGGAAUUGACAAUGGCGCAUUCCAUACCUGGGAGUGAUUGCACAGUGGCACCCUUGGACCUAAUUUCACCCUGACAUCAAGUCUGUUUUAAGGAGAACCAUGAGAGAAAUUAAUAAAUUAAAGUUUGCCGAAUAUCAAAGAAUAACAGAGUUAUGAGGCUUCAAAGUUUUAAAUUUGUGACAUGACAUGCAAGCAGCUCCCAAUAUGUCAAUCAUGUAAUAUAAAUUCCAUAAAUUGCCAUUUUUUAAUGGUUUUCAUGAUAAUUAAAUGGGUUUUUAUCAGAAGCUUGUAUGAAAUAAUGUUUCUGAUAACAUUGAAUCCACAGGUAAAAUCAUUUUCCAAUUUCCCUAGAAAAGGCACUUGUAUAGAAUUGAUAUCACAUAAAAUAUGGGGAGCUGCUCGCAUGUGAAGUCACAAAUUUAAAACUUCAUAACUCUUAUUCUUGGUGGAUUUUCACCAACUAACAUGCAAUGUCAGGAUGAACCUUGCCUUUAAACCUUGUAUUGGCAGCCUUUCAUUGACAUUUACAUACAGUAUUUUAGGUUUUGUGAGCAAGUAUAUGAAAAAGGUGCUAAUUAACACCUACUUCCCCUUCUUAACCCUAACCAGGCCAGGGGGGGGGGGGGGUUUAAAACAACCUUCCCCCAACAUUAUCUGCGAUCAUUCCUCCGCGGGAGAUUUGUUGACCCUGCCACUCUCAAGAGUUUAUACUAAGUCUCGCGCAUCUUUUGAGACCAAAUUUACGAUGCCCAGGUACGUUGUCCCGAAAUUAUGCAACAUUUCGUAAGU